rnacentral:snoRNA from 1 species
GAUUAGUAUGAUGACAACUUCUACCAUUGUAUGAGCUCCUCUUGAUUAUACAAACAUGCACUACCAUCUGAUUGAUC